rnacentral:tRNA from 1 species
CAGGAUAUAGCGCAGUCCGGUAGCGCAUCUGCUUUGGGAGCAGAGGGUCGCAGGUUCAAAUCCUGCUAUCUUGA